CAAAGGAAUUGACGGAGGCCCGCACAAGCGGUGGAGCAUGUGGUUUAAUUCGAUGCAACGCGAAGAACCUUACCUGGGCUUGAAAUCCCGGGAAUCCCCUGGAAACAGGGGAGUGCCCUUCGGGGAACCCGGUGACAGGUGCUGCAUGGCUGUCGUCAGCUCGUGUCGUGAGAUGUUGGGUUAAGUCCCGCAACGAGCGCAACCCUUGUCUUUAAUUGCCAGCAAGUAGCGUUGGGCACUCUAGCCAGACUGCCGGUGAUAAAUCGGAGGAAGGUGGGGACGACGUCAAAUCAUCAUGCCCUUUAUGUCCUGGGCUACACACGUACUACAAUGGCCGUUACAACGGGAAGCGAAGGAGCAAUCCGGAGCAAAUCCCUUAAAGGCGGUCCCAGUUCAGAUUGUGGGCUGAAGCUCGCCCACAUGAAGGCGGAAUUGCUAGUAAUUGCAGAUCAGCAUGCUGCAGUGAAUACGUUCCCGGGCCUU
rnacentral:rRNA from 1 species